rnacentral:lncRNA from 1 species
CAGUCCUGUCCCCUUAGCUCCAAGGCUCCUGGACUUCCAAAAGGGGCACACCUCUGGCCUGCCUUUGAACUGAAGCUCCCCAGGAUGCACCAAGGACCCAACCUCACCUGUCCUGGGGAAGCCAAAGGUAGAGCUGAGGCAGCCAGCUGUUCCCCGAGGCAGGGCUGUCAUCAAACUACAGGGGACAGGUCCUACCUCCCAAAAGCACACGGCCCAGGAGCCUACACAGAGGCUGAGCAUCAGGAAACUAUCCCCUGUCAGACAUGAGAGGAGAGGGAAGGUAUUUAAGCAGAGAGGUGAACAACUCAAAAUAGCUUUCAGGAAGGCCCUGAAACUGACUGGAUUCACUAAGCCUUUCCCUGCCAGAGAAAACAAUGAAGACUGCAAAGAAUAGCCAAGCUACAGAGAAGACAAGACCAAACCAGCUGCCUAGAAGAAACAGAGACUAGUUGAGGUGCCUGGAAGAUGUUUAGACCAACUGAGUCACUAGGAGAGGAUAGUCGCCAACAUGCUGAGCUGCCUGUAUGCUGUGCAGUGUACUCUAGGCUCCCACUUUGUGAGCUGUCACCCGUGUUAGAGUGGGCUUUGGUGAUAUGACUUGACUUUGAGUCAUUUCUGCUCCUAUACACGUAACCCCUUACCUAUACUCCUGUAAGUAACCCCAAUAAAACCCAGUGCUUUACCAUGUUG